rnacentral:rRNA from 1 species
UACGUAGGUGGCAAGCGUUGUCCGGAUUUACUGGGCGUAAAGAGCGCGCAGGCGGUCGGAUUAGUCGCGUGUGAAAGCCCCCGGCUCAACUGGGAGGGUCACGCGAUGCUGUUCGACUCGAAGGCAGGAGAGGGAAGUGGAAUUCCCGGUGUAGUGGUGAAAUGCGUAGAUAUCGGGAGGAACACCAGUGGCGAAGGCGACUUCCUGGCCUGUUCUUGACGCUGAGGCGCGAAAGCUAGGGUAGCAAACGGG